rnacentral:rRNA from 1 species
UUAAGUUAGUGGCGGACGGGUGAGUAACACGUGAGCAACCUGCCCUUUCAGAGGGGGACAACAAGUUGGAAACGACUGCUAAUACCGCAUAAGACCACGGGAUGGCAUCAUUCUGCGGUCGAAAGAUUUAUCGCUGAAAGAUGGGCUCGCGUCCGAUUAGAUAGUUGGUGAGUAACGGCCCACCAAGUCGACGAUCGGUAGCCGGACUGAGAGGUUGAACGGCCACAUUGGGACUGAGACACGGCCCAGACUCCUACGGGAGGCAGCAGUGGGGGAUAUUGGACAAUGGGGGGCCAACCCUGAUCCAGCGACGCCGCGUGAGGGAAGAAGGUUUUCGGAUUGUAAACCUCUGUUGACAGGGAAGAAAAUGACGGUACCUGUUUAGAAAGCCACGGCUAACUACGUGCCAGCAGCCGC